AUGAUGAAUCAUCUCGGUGGCAUAGUGCCCGAAAGCAUUUACUCAUGCAGCAUGUUGACUGCACUGCGGCUGUCGGGCAACCAUUUCCAUGGUGAGAUCUCACCAAGAAUAGGCAAUCUGAAGCAUCUGUCCUGCCUAUCACUUGGUAGUAACUCCUUUACAAAUAUCAUGAAAGCUUUGCAUGCCCUUAAGAGCUGCAGGAACAUCAACACCUUGCUUAUUGGCAGAAACUUCAUGAAUGAGGCCAUGCCACAAGAUGAAACCAUUGACGGUUUUCAGAAUCUUCAGUUUCUAGUCAUGCAUCAUUGUUCGUUGACUGGAAGGAUACCUACUUGGUUAUCGAAGUUCACAAGUCUGAAGGUAUUAUUAUUAUCUAGUAAUCAACUCACCGGACCAAUACCAAGCUGGAUCAACUCCCUAAACCACCUCUUCGGACUGGACGUAUCAAACAACAGUCUUACCGGGAAAAUUCCAAUGACCCUGAUGGAGAUGCCAAUGCUAAAAUCAGACAAGCCUGCCAUAUAUUUCGACCCAAGCCUCCUUGACCUACCAAUUUAUGUGGACGACGCCAAUGCUAAACUUCAGUACCGCAUGGGCAGUGCUUGGCCCAAAGGGCUGAAUCUCGGUAAGAAUAAAUUCACAGGUAUGAUCCCCCAAGAGAUUGGUCAUCUGGAAGCACUCACUUACGUAAACUUGAGUUUCAACAACUUUUAUGGAGAGAUCCCACAAUCAAUCUGCAAGCUCACGAACCUCCAGGGGCUAGAUUUGUCUAAUAACCAUCUCACCGGUGCAAUCCCUGUGCCGUUGGAGAAUCUUCACUUCCUUUCGCGACUCAACGUUUCUAACAACGACCUAGAAGGAUCUAUUCCAGCAAAAGGCCAGCUGAGCACGUAUCAGGCUUCUAGCUUUGACGGGAACCCAAAGCUGUGCGGCUCUGUGCUUACUAACCAUUGCAGUUCAGUUGAAGCAGCUCCCGUCUCCAUCAUCUCUGCAAAAAAAUGCAGCGAAAAGAUCAUCUUCGCGAUUGCAUUUGGUACAUGA
rnacentral:rRNA from 1 species